GUAGACUUCAGGAUGCCAUGCUGCUGUUUCUUCCCAAUUUAAGGCUGCUCUCGAAAUUCAUCUUAAUCUGGUUCUACUGUUACAAAGGUGGAAGACACUCCCUGCGGCCACUGGGCCCCUCUCUGACAGAUGGCGGGCAGACCACGGUCCUCCUUCCACAAAGCCCACGAACGGAGAUGCAGGUGGGGCUGUAGCCCACCAGACGGGCUGAGUGUGCUGGGUGGGGGCUGGCCCUGGAAUUGGAUCCAUGGGGAGAAAUUCCACAACGACAAUAGCUCUGACGUGUACUCCCUCCUCUCGUUGCAGAACUGGGUGUAGGAACAGAGGAGAGUCCGAAGGUCGCCUCCCAGCUCUGCCCACAGUCUGCCCCACAGCUCCAACAGCAGCAUCCUCUCAGGUGAGAGUCGCCUGGAACACCCCAACGCCGGGCGAGGAAUUUCCUGGAUGCUCAGGCGUUCCCGUGCGCAGCCCAGAGUGGGAACCACCGCCUUAGACACACGCUGACUCAGCUCCUGAUUAUUAAAGAUGAUGUUUCACGCA
rnacentral:lncRNA from 1 species